rnacentral:rRNA from 1 species
GUCGGGAAUAUUGCGCAAUGGGCGAAAGCCUGACGCAGCAACGCCGCGUGGGUGAUGAAGCUUCUUGGAGUGUAAAACCCUGUCGGAAGGGACGAAUUUCGGGAGAACGAACACUUCUUCUGCUUGACGGUACCUUCAGAGGAAGCUCCGGCUAACUCCGUGCCAGCAGCCGCGGUAAUACGGGGGGAGCAAGCGUUGUUCGGAUUUACUGGGCGUAAAGGGCGUGUAGGCGGGCUUUCAAGUCAGACGUGACAAUCCUCGGCUUAACUGGGGACCUGCGUUUGAUACUGUUAGCCUUGAGUACGGGAGAGGAAAGCGGAAUCCACAGUGUAGCGGUGAAAUGCGUAGAUAUUGUGGAGAACACCGGUGGCGAAGGCGGCUUUCUGGCCCGAUACUGACGCUGAGGCGCGAAAGCGUGGGGAGCGAACAGGAUUAGAAACCCUAGUAGUCC